AGUGAACGCUGGCGGUAGGCCUAACACAUGCAAGUCGAACGGCAGCACAGUAAGAGCUUGCUCUUACGGGUGGCGAGUGGCGGACGGGUGAGGAAUACAUCGGAAUCUACUUUUUCGUGGGGGAUAACGUAGGGAAACUUACGCUAAUACCGCAUACGACCUACGGGUGAAAGCAGGGGAUCUUCGGACCUUGCGCGAUUGAAUGAGCCGAUGUCGGAUUAGCUAGUUGGCGGGGUACAGGCCCACCAAGGCGACGAUCCGUAGCUGGUCUGAGAGGAUGAUCAGCCACACUGAAACUGAGACACGGUCCAGACUCCUACGGGAGGCAGCAGUGGGGAAUAUUGGACAAAGGGCGCAAGCCUGAUCCAGCCAUACCGCGUGGGUGAAGAAGGCCUUCGGGUUGUAAAGCCCUUUUGUUGGGAAAGAAAAGCAGCAGGUUAAUACCCCGCUGUUCUGACGGUACCCAAAGAAUAAGCACCGGCUAACUUCGUG
rnacentral:rRNA from 1 species